AAUCAGCUGACUUCAAUCGGUUGGUCAUAUACUCGUUGCUAGGGCAGUUAGCCCGUUAGCAUAAAGAGGUUAAAAUAAUUUAAAUAAAAUGUUUGCGUUUUUCCCCGCGACGAAUGGCGUGUUAAAUAUACUAGGGGUUUAUGGAAAAAUGUUACCCUGGCAUCCUGACAUACUGGGCUCUCUAUUAGCCAUAUAAGUUAGCGAUCAGCUGCUCACUGUUUACAGAGCCACUCAAACAAACAGACAGCCAUACGUGAAGUCGGUGGAUAUUUCAUCUUUUUUGGACGAGGUUUGGGAAUAAGUGCAAUAUGGACACCAAUGUCCAGAAAAGGCGAGAGAACAAGAAGUCGUUACGGGUUAAGGUCAUUAGUCUGGGAAAUGCUGAGGUGGGAAAGAGCUGCAUCAUUAAACGUUACUGUGAGAAGAGAUUUGUGCCCAAGUAUCUAGCCACUAUUGGGAUAGAUUAUGGUGUAACAAAGGUUCAGGUACGGGACCGGGAGAUAAAAGUAAAUAUUUUUGACAUGGCUGGACAUCCUUUCUUUUAUGAGGUCCGCAAUGAGUUUUAUAAGGACUCUCAGGGAGUGAUUCUAGUCUAUGAUGUUGGCUUGAGAGAGAGUUUUGAUGCUCUGGACAGCUGGCUCACAGAGAUGAAGCAGGAGAUGGGCUCGCAGGCUAACAUGGAGAACAUCAUCUUUGUUGUGUGUGCAAACAAGGUUGACUUGACAAAAAGGAGAGUGGUGGAUGAGAGUGAAGGGAGACUUUGGGCUGAGAGCAGAGGAUUUCAUUACUUUGAAACUUCUGCCCAGAGCGGGGAAGGCAUCAAUGAAAUGUUUCAGUCGUUUUUCUCCUCAAUAACUGAUAUGUGUGAAAACGGAGGGAAGAGACCUACUCCAGAGGUGAGCGUAGGUUUUACCAAAGAGCAGGCAGACACCAUCCGACGCAUCCGCAACAGCAAAGACAGCUGGGAUAUGCUGGGAGUCAAACCUGGGGCCACAAGGGAAGAAGUCAACAAGGCAUACAGGAAGUUGGCGGUACUGUUGCACCCAGACAAGUGUGUGGCCCCAGGCAGCGAGGAUGCCUUUAAAGCAGUGGUUAAUGCUCGCACGUCCCUCCUCAAGAAUAUCAAGUAGGAUCAAGUGUCCACACACAACUGCAUCUCUCAUGGUUCCAUUACCAACAUACUCCUCCUCAUUUUGAUCGGCUUCACAUUGCCAUUAGCUGGAGUUGAAGAGUUCCCUUCUCAGUGAAGAUCACUCUUAAAGCACACGGAGAAGCCACUGGACUCGAACAAAGACGUAUGUCAGAUGUGCAGCUGUGACCGCACUUGUUUAUAAUGUAAUAUAUGUUCAUGUGCUGUUAUUGUUGGGAAACCUCGAUGCUCUGAGGGGCAUAUCUGUCAGGAUCACUUUAGAACAUGAGAAUAUCAUUGGUGGGCCUUUCCUUUUCUCAGUCUGUCCUGUGACAGUUGACUGUUGUACUGCACUACUCCUAUAGAUGACAAGUUAAUACCACUUAUUUACCAGCUGAUUUGCGACCCAGACUUACCAUUUUAAUGUUUUAGUUUAAUCCUGACACACCUCAUAAGUUAGCCGUGACCUACAUGGCUCAUUCACUUAUUUGUUGUUUUUAUCCACUCCACUUUAACUUACUUUAAAUAGGAGGAAAAGCAUGGAAAGGUUUUCUAAGUGCAAGUGCAAUAUAAAAAUAGCGUGUAUUUCUCAGAUUUACCACUAGCUUUAUUCUACUACUUGCUAAGUUAUCGUUGAAGAUGAAUCAAUAAUAUAUUAAAAUAUCUACAUAUAAAAAUGAUUAAGAAAUGUUUGUGUAACAUGCCAAUUCAACUUCAAGUUUACUUAAGUUAGGUCAUUUUUAAGUACAAAAUAGGUGGUCAAUAGACUAUUAUUCAAGUAUUUGGAGCCAGGUGAUAUUGAAUGCAUUACAUUAUUCAAAGAUAACAGUAAAGAUAUUAAAAUUGUGACUGUGUUUUUCAUCGUUUGAGCUCGAGAAAUGCUUCUUUAGCAUUAAUCCUUGUGCACUGUUUAAAUUUACAACCCUUUCGUUAUGUUCAGGAUAAAACAUUCACUGAAUUAAACUGUAUAAAAGAUAAAUAUGUUUUUCAAAUUCUUUUGGCGUAAAUCUGUUAAUCAAUCUCAGUCCUGAUCAAAACUACUAAAUUGUUUAGAGAAUUACUAGAUUUUAACUCCUUAAGUUCACAAAUUAUGUCACUGAUUUGGUGGAAAAAAAAACAUAAAAUGACAUUUUCAAUAUAAAAAGUAAUUGUUGACAGGAUUUUUCAUUUACCUUUUAUCACAGUCUUGGAUAUGUGAAAUAUUAGUAACAACAUCGGCUUUGGUGCAUUGUUACAUUUUCAUUUUUUUUCUCUUUAAUUUACUGUUGGUGGCUGUUUUUGCCACAUUGCCCCACUUCCAUUAUAACCACAUUUAAUGGUGCAUAAAUACAGUCUUUGUUUUUAUUUACUUGAUGUAGUUCUGAGAGCUGAGAUGCAUAUUUUGAUAUUCUCAGGCACGUUAAGGUAAGUGUACGUAUAAAGGUCACUCUCACACACACACACACACAAACACACACACACACACUUUUUUUUGCUGUUAUACUCCAUAUAAAAUUAGAAGCUAAGCUUUGUUUUUGCACAGGCUUAUCUAAAGGGUUAAUGGUGCCAACUCAUGAUCAACAGUAAAAAUGACAAAUUUUAUCUCUUCCCAACAGGGAAAACCACAUACAAUCAAAUAUGCAUGAAUAAAUGCUAUCAUGGUUAUAUAAUCAAAAAUAGUGGUUACAAUGGAAGUCAAUGGGGCAAAAAAUAAAAAUUAAUCAAAAACAAUGCAUCAAUGCAAUCUACAUGU